rnacentral:rRNA from 1 species
UACGGAGGGUGCAAGCGUUAUCCGGAUUUACUGGGUUUAAAGGGUGCGUAGGUGGGUUGGGAAGUCGGUGGUGAAAUACUUUCGCUUAACGAAGGAACUGCCAUUGAUACUAUCAAUCUUGAAUGUAGUGGAGGUAGGCGGAAUGCGUCAUGUAGCGGUGAAAUGCUUAGAUAUGACGCAGAACACCAAUUGCGAAGGCAGCUUGCUACACUACUAUUGACACUGAGGCACGAAAGCGUGGGGAUCAAACAGG